CGCGCCGCGUCUAACGUUACUGCGCCACCGUAUAGCUCGGUCCUACAACGAUCGCAAUACCACGCGCUAAAUAAAUUGUGAAAGUGUUGCUUAUAAAACGUGAUUUCUCGAGUGAGAGUACAUUGCCGCGCCUAAGAACCAAGAAGACGCGACGCCUUCGCAACGUAAUAAUCAGUGGAAGGGGAAUUGUCUCGUGCAUUUGAGCUUGGAGAGGGGUUCAAUGGAAGCGAGGUUCGUGACCUGCCGGAGUUUCCAGCAGAUCAAGCCGCCUGAGAAGAGCCUCGCGCCGUCCCCACCGACGGUGAAGGGGCUCCUGUCUCGUUUCGGGAGUCAGGCACAGGCUUUGUUCGCGCCCAAGAAACCCCGUUUCGGAUCGUCAGUGGCCAUACACAAGCUCCGCGAAACCAAGUGGUUCAAACAUGAUGAACAGAACAUAUUGUGCGCCGUCCUCGAGACAGGCUUCAUCCUGGAAGUGCGCGCCGAGGACCCCCUGCCCCCGGACUCUGUACUCUCGCCAGACUAUCACAUGUAUGCAGUCGCCAUGUGGAAGAAGGGUAAAGAAAAAACAAAGAACCCGGAACAGAUAGACGUGUACACCGUUCAACAGAAAGGUGUGAGAAAACGUGUCGUGAAGACAACACUAGGUGCCUUUUGGAAGAAGGACUCCGUGAUACGCAUCAACAAUGUGGACGAUAAACAGGAGACGCCGAACAGCGAGAAGGAUAUCAGAGCCAAGCUGGAUAUGGCAACUAAAUCAAGGUUCGAGAGGAAUUGGCACAAUACCCUGCACUUCGUCCACUGGUGCAGAUACGGGGAGACUCCGCAAGAGGCUCGCAUGAGACAGAUCAGCUUAACGACGUCGAAAACACCUAUGAUUAUCAUCUUUUGAUGGUAAUCGUUUGAGGCGCUUUGGACACUUACAGCUGGCAAGAAUAACAAAUACCGAUAAGCGAGUCCUUCAAAUGGGGUAAUGUCGGCAUGAAUAUGGGUGUAAUGCUUGUCAGUCAGAACUACGCCAGAGAGAAGGCCAAGUCCGUCUGAGUGUCGCCCACCAGCGGCCUCCCCACCGCUGGUAGAUACUCUUGCUACGCCUGCUUCUGGCCACCCCCCAAGAAAAUCGACAACGUCUAAGUAUCAAUUUGGUUUUAGAACACCUUUAAAACGCUUCGGAAUUGAAAGGAUUUCAAUUUGGAACAGAUUGUUACUAACGGUUUACGUUUGAAUUUGGAAUUGCAUUUCUAAUUUAAAUUUAGAAUUUAGACCCUGAAUCGAUUAGAGUUCAGUUUGGAUUGGAAUUCCGGAUUGGAAACACUUUCAGUUCGGAAUUAUUCCUGAUGAGAUCGGAUAUUUUUGUAAAAAUGGAUUUUUUGCGUUGAAUGUUCCUUCUAUUGAAUUUCAUUAAGUUUAUUUACUUUUUGUUUUGUUGUCUUUCCUGCCAGUAUUGACUUCGACAACUUAGUGUACUGUCUCUCUUUCGAUAAUAUUAAAUUCUAGGGGCAUCUUUCACAUUUUUUGAUACUUUUGGACCAAAUUCGAGUUGCUAUUGAAACAUUUUAGAUCACGUUACACUUUUAAAAAUAUUAAUAGAGUUUAAAAGCAUAUUAGAUAGAGAAUGUAGUACACUAAAAUCUGGUCAUUUGCCGCCUAAAUACUUAUAUUGAAUAUGUAUUAGAGGAAAUUGUGAAAGUGGCCCUCUAUAGCUUUAAUUCGGAUUUUAUAAUAACAAAAAUAAUAUGAUAAAACAUUCCUGUUAUUAAAAAAGACGCCCCUCGGCUCGUAUAUUUAAAUAACUUUACGCUAAUAUUAAACUAUUUAAUGUUUAAUCUUUAUCUAUUUGAGAGUGGUCACCCUAGUCUUGUGAGUAAAUGAAUCACUCUUUCUGAUUUCAAUGACAAGACUGUUUUAUUUUCCAAUUUGGAAUACGAUUUCGUUGAAAAAUCGCUCAAUAUGUAUUGAAUUAGUCAAAAGAAGUAUUGUUAUGUUGGUCGGCCCUCCGUAGGGUUUGACACUUGAAAGUAUUUUUUAAUCUGUAUAGUUUAUGCGACCUAAUUAAUGUUAAAUGUGACAAAUGUCAACUGUUGUGAGAGUUGUACUCGUGUAUGUUUAAACGUUCUAUUUAUAAUGAAGCAUUUUUAUGAAUAAAUGAAUACUUUAUAA